rnacentral:rRNA from 1 species
CCUACGGGUGGCAGCAGUGGGGAAUAUUGGGCAAUGGGCGCAAGCCUGACCCAGCAACGCCGCGUGAAGGAAGAAGGCUUUCGGGUUGUAACCUUCUUUUCUCAGGGACGAAGAAAGUGACGGUACCUGAGGAAUAAGCCACGGCUAACUACGUGCCAGCAGCCGCGGUAAUACGUAGGUGGCAAGCGUUAUCCGGAUUUACUGGGUGUAAAGGGCGUGUAGGCGGGGAAGCAAGUCAGAUGUGAAAACCACGGGCUCAACCUGUGGCCUGCAUUUGAAACUGUGUUUCUUGAGUGCUGGAGAGGCAAUCGGAAUUCCGUGUGUAGCGGUGAAAUGCGUAGAUAUACGGAGGAACACCAGUGGCGAAGGCGGAUUGCUGGACAGUAACUGACGCUGAUGCGCGAAAGCGUGGGGGGCAAACAGGAUUAGAUACCCCAGUAGUC